GUUUAUUUACUGUUUCAUUCUUCCUUUUAGUGUGGCUAUCCAACAUCAACAUCAUAAUGAUGGUCUCGACUCUUAUAAAUAUAUUUAAAAAUGCCUCAGACAAACAUUCAUUAUUAGUUCAUCUCAUUAUCUAAAAAGAGUUACAGCGGAUUCCAUUGAGUGUGUAGCCAAAGGUAAUAUCUUUGGUUAGCUUGCUUGUUAGCUGAACCGUGAAGUCU
rnacentral:lncRNA from 1 species